rnacentral:rRNA from 1 species
UAAGGAAUAUUGGUCAAUGGACGCAAGUCUGAACCAGCCAUGCCGCGUGAAGGAUGAAGGUCCUCUGGAUUGUAAACUUCUUUUAUCUGGGACGAAAACGGGAUUUUUAUCUCAAUUGACGGUACCAGAGGAAUAAGCACCGGCUAACUCCGUGCCAGCAGCCGCGGUAAUACGGAGGGUGCGAGCGUUAUCCGGAUUUACUGGGCGUAAAGCGUGCGCAGGCGGUUUUGUAAGACAGAUGUGAAAUCCCCGGGCUUAACCUGGGAACUGCGUUUGUGACUGCAAGGCUGGAGUACGGCAGAGGGGGGUGGAAUUCCACGUGUAGCAGUGAAAUGCGUAGGGAUGUGGAGGAACACCGAUGGCGAAGGCAGCCCCCUGGGCCUGUACUGACGCUCAUGCACGAAAGCGUGGGGAGCAAACA